rnacentral:sRNA from 1 species
CAAAACAUGGCAAUGUAUUUCAGAAACACAAAAUAAGUUUCAAGUUCCUUGUAAACAUCCCGCUCUGUCCUUUGGAAGGUGCUUCUGGGAACGAGCCUGCGCAAGUUUCUCUCCUCUACUUGGGAGACAUAGAGAUCUCAGAAGAUGCCACGCUGGCGGAGCUGAAGUCUCAGGCCAUGACCUUGCCUCCUUUCCUGGAGUUCGGUGUCCCGUUCCCAGCCCACCUCAGAGCCUGGACGGUGGAGAGGAAGCGCCCAGGCAGGCUUUUACGAACUGACCGGCAGCCACUCAGGGAAUAUAAACUAGGACGGAGAAUUGAGAUCUGCUUAGAGCCCCUUCAGAAAGGCGAAAACUUGGGCCCCCAGGACGUGCUGCUGAGGACACAGGUGCGCAUCCCUGGUGAGAGGACCUACACCCCUGCCCUGGACCUGGUGUGGAACGUGGCCCAGGGUGGGACUGCCGGCUCCCUGAGGCAGAGAGUUGCCGAUUUCUAUUGUCUUCCCGUGGAGAAGAUUGAAAUUGCCAAAUACUUUCCCGAAAAGUUCGAGUGGCUUCCGAUAUCUAGCUGGAACCAACAAAUAACCAAGAGG